GCUACCAUGCAAGUCGAGCGGAAGGCCCUUCGGGGUACUCGAGCGGCGAACGGGUGAGUAACACGUGAGUAACCUGCCCCCGACUCUGGGAUAAGCCCGGGAAACUGGGUCUAAUACCGGAUACGACCACUUCCCGCAUGUGGAUGGUGGUGGAAAGUUUUUUCGGUUGGGGAUGGACUCGCGGCCUAUCAGCUUGUUGGUGGGGUAAUGGCCUACCAAGGCGACGACGGGUAGCCGGCCUGAGAGGGCGACCGGCCACACUGGGACUGAGACACGGCCCAGACUCCUACGGGAGGCAGCAGUGGGGAAUAUUGCGCAAUGGGCGAAAGCCUGACGCAGCGACGCCGCGUGGGGGAUGACGGCCUUCGGGUUGUAAACCUCUUUCAGCAGGGACGAAGUUGACGUGUACCUGCAGAAGAAGCGCCGGCUAACUACGUGCCAGCAGCCGCGGUAAUACGUAGGGCGCAAGCGUUGUCCGGAAUUAUUGGGCGUAAAGAGCUCGUAGGUGGCUUGUCACGUCGGGUGUGAAAGCUUGGGGCUUAACUCCAGGUCUGCAUUCGAUACGGGCUGGCUAGAGGUAGGUAGGGGAGAACGGAAUUCCUGGUGUAGCGGUGAAAUGCGCAGAUAUCAGGAGGAACACCGGUGGCGAAGGCGGUUCUCUGGGCCUUACCUGACGCUGAGGAGCGAAAGCGUGGGGAGCGAACAGGAUUAGAUACCCUGGUAGUCCACGCUGUAAACGUUGGGCGCUAGGUGUGGGGACCUUCCACGGUUUCCGCGCCGUAGCUAACGCAUUAAGCGCC
rnacentral:rRNA from 1 species